ACCGAAAAGCAAAUGCAUUUGUUGAUAUGAGUAGCCAAAUCAAUUCCUUUAAGCUAUCCUUCAACUGUAUAGUCUCAUACCUAUACAAUCUCUAGAUCCCUCUCAUUCCGGUGUAUGUUCGAUUCGUCCAUGUGCCCCUUCCACUGGAAGCCUGCCAGGAGCUGCUCCUUGUCCAUGCCUCUUGCACCGGCGAUCACUCCCCGCCCUCGUCAGUGUCCGGGUGUCACAUGCCCACCAGCUUCUGUCUGGUUCGUCCUCGAACCACACCAUAUUGGGAGAGGCUAGGCUCUGAUACCAUCUGUAACGCACCGACAACUUACAGGGACUGUUGACUUCCCCCACACAUCAACACAAGGCUUUCCAGUGUGUUUUGUCCUCACUCACACACUUUCCGAGAAAACUUUCCAGAAGGUAACCCAUCCCAAAUUACUCUAGGCUAAGCACGCUUAACUAUGGAGUUCUUAUGGGUUAGGCUACCGAAAAGCAAAUGCAUUUGUUGAUAUGAGUAGCCAAAUCAAUUCAUUAAGUUAUCCUUCAACUGUAUAGUCCCAUACCUAUACAGUCUCUAGAUCCCUCUCAUUCUGGUGUAUGUUCGAUUCGUCCACGUGCCCCUUCCACUGGAAGCCUGCCAGGAGCCGCUCCUUGUCCAUGCCUCUUGCACCGGCGAUCACUCCCCGCCCUCGUCAGUGCCCGGGUG
rnacentral:lncRNA from 1 species